rnacentral:rRNA from 1 species
UACGUAGGGGGCAAGCGUUGUCCGGAAUCAUUGGGCGUAAAGAGCGUGUAGGCGGUCCGUUAAGUCGGCUGUGAAAGUCCAAGGCUCAACCUUGGGAUGCCGGUCGAUACUGCCGGACUAGAGUUCGGAAGAGGCGAGUGGAAUUCCCGGUGUAGCGGUGAAAUGCGCAGAUAUCAGGAAGAACACCCGUGGCGAAGGCGGCUCUCUGGGACGGUACUGACGCUGAGACGCGAAAGCGUGGGGAGCGAACAGG